GUUGGGUAUCGGAAUGUGCGGUCAAAACUUUCAUCCAUUUUACUGUCGCGCGACCAACUCGCCAGUUUUGAUUUCCAAU
rnacentral:sRNA from 1 species